AUUGAACGCUGGCGGCGUGCCUAACACAUGCAAGUCGAGCGGUAACAGGUGUAGCAAUACAUGCUGACGAGCGGCGAACGGGUGAGUAAUGCUUCGGAAUCUACCUUAUGGUGGGGGAUAACUAGCCGAAAGGUUAGCUAAUACCGCAUACGUCCUAAGGGAGAAAGCAGGGGAUCGCAAGACCUUGCGCCAAAAGAUGAGCCGAAGUCGGAUUAGAGAGUUGGUAGGGUAACGGCCUACAAAGGCGACGAGCCGUAGCGGGUCUGGGAGGACGACCAGCCACACUGGGACUGAGACAUGGCCCAGACUCCUACGGGAGGCAGCAGUGGGGAAUAUUGGACAAUGGGGGAAACCCUGAUCCAGCGACGCCGCGUGUGUGAAGAAGGCCUGCGGGUUGUAAAGCACUUUUAGUGGGGAUGAAAUGUGCAGGGUUAAUACCUCUGCAUUUUGACCUAACCCACAGAAAAAGCACCGGCUAACUCUGUGCCAGCCGCCGCGGUAA
rnacentral:rRNA from 1 species